CUCUCGCUGCUGAAGGCCUUGAUUGACAGGCUGCUUCAGGAUGGAAUGGAGGAGCUUCUUCAUGAGAUCAGCACCAUCAGACGAGUGAAAGGAGACAGACAGGAGCCGGACUCAAACGUCAUCACCGAAUACACUAGCUCAGUAAAGUACAGUCACCCACAAGAGUCAUUACCUGAUACAGAUUUGACUGAGGAAGAGACUGAUUUUGAAGAGGGGCAGAUGCCUGAGCCCAGUCCUAAGCCUGUUGUAGAAAAAGAAGUGGGUCCUAUCCUUUCGAACAUCUCUACUAUUCACAAAAAGGCUAACCAGAGUAAAACCAAAGACAAGCUGGUAGAUGUUGAAGAAAAGAAACUUGUGGAGACUAACUUCAGUGAUGUAACACCUUUGAAAUUUCUCCAAACCAACACUUCCUCUGAGAGGCUGGGCUCUGGGAAGGUAGAGGUAAGUAUGGAGACAGUUUUCCACAGCCAUGAGGACACGGGGAAGAAAACAUCUGGAGAGAAGAAGAAAGGCAGAGAUAGGGGAAAGGGCAAAGGAAAUAAAGGACGUCAAAAACGACAAAGGAAACGUUUGGAAGGUCAAGACAGCAUGGGAGAGGAGGUUGAGGAAGCAUCAUAUGACGAUGAGGAAUAUGAAUAUGAUGUAAGUCUGUCACAUGAUCCUACUGUGAAAUUUAAUGUAUGA
ensembl:lncRNA